CUGGGCUGGGAUCAGGCAGCAUCUCAGAGCAAAGAGCAGCAGAAGGGGAUGGAAGAACAGCCCCCUCUCUCUCUCUCUCUCUCUCCUCCUGUGGGGUGGAGGUGCCAGGCACAGCCAGGGGAUGGAAGAACAGCCCCCUCCUCAUCCUGCCACCCCGAGCACCAGGGAAUGGGGGCACUGACCAUGCUGUGUCCUGGGUCAGUAACCACAGAAAUGCUGCUCUGGAAGGGACCCCAAGUAUACUUGCCCUUGCUUUCAUACUGCACACCUCUCCUGUCCCUUUGAAAGGAAUCCUGAGGGCAUUCUAAAGCAGGAAGAGUUUGUGGAGUGAGUUGGUGAGUAUAAAUAGCUCUGAAGCAGAGCAGCACC
rnacentral:lncRNA from 1 species